rnacentral:rRNA from 1 species
UACGGAGGGGGAAAGCGUUGUUCGGAUUUACUGGGCGUAAAGGGCGCGUAGGCGGCGCGUAAAGUCGGACAUGAAAUCAUUGGGCUUAACCCGAUGGCUGAGCCCGAUACUUGCGUGCUUAGAGUGCGGGAGAGGCAAUCGGAAUUCUCGGUGUCGCGGUGAAAUGCGUAGAUAUCGAGAGGAACUCCGGUGACGAAGGUGGGUUGCUGGACCGACACUGACGCUGAGGCGCGAAAGCUAGGGGAGCAAACGGG